GGGAAAGCUGGGCAGCUUGGACCAGGAGCAAGGGUCCAGCUUGUGAUUGGGGAAGCCUGGAGAGGCAGCCUGCCGUGCGAGCUGGGGGAAGAUGCUCCUGCUCUUUGUUAUCUUGGGACUUUGGUUUUGUUUCCUCAUUGAAGCCCUGCUUGAGAGCACCUCCCUGAGAGGGGGUGGGCUGGGAGCAGUGAGCCCCAGGUGCAGCCAAGGGGCUGGCUGGAAAACCCUUCCAGAGAGCCAGCAGCGAGCAGGAGCUUGGAGGGCGCCUGCAGCAAGGAGGAGAUGCCGAACCCAGCAAACCACAAGCCCUGCUCCAACCCCACUGAAUGAGCUCUGAAAAGGUCACCAGGAGCAGAGGGCUUUGGGCCUUGUCUGGGACUGUAGGUAGCCCGGAGAGCGCUGAAUCCUGGGCUCGCUUAACUGGACAGCUACGUCCCCACAGCCCCGGAUCCAGCUGGAGGCAGCUCCUGAGCACGGACGACCCAGCAAGUAGCCAAGGCAAGGCUCCUAGCAAGACAACGCCAGGAUGCAGCUUCUGCGCCAGGCUAGGGCUGUGUGGAUGCUGGGUUCUGAUGCUGGGUCCCUUUCCAGAGCAAACCCUGCUCUCUGUCUUGUUUUAACAGCUCUGGAGCCAGCACCGCAGCACGGUUGUACCUUCACACCCUCAGGUUUUGUGGGCUGGUAAGCACCGAGCGUGCAGCUAGCGCUCCUUGACUUGUGUCUACGGAUCCUUGAACUCCAGCGUGGUCAUCCAUCCAAUUUCC